AUUGAACGCUGGCGGCAGGCCUAACACAUGCAAGUCGAGCGGUAGAGAGGUGCUUGCAUCUCUUGAGAGCGGCGGACGGGUGAGUAAUGCCUAGGAAUCUGCCUAGUGGUGGGGGAUAACGUUCGGAAACGGACGCUAAUACCGCAUACGUCCUACGGGAGAAAGCGGGGGAUCUUCGGACCUCGCGCCAUUAGAUGAGCCUAGGUCGGAUUAGCUAGUUGGUGAGGUAAUGGCUCACCAAGGCGACGAUCCGUAACUGGUCUGAGAGGAUGAUCAGUCACACUGGAACUGAGACACGGUCCAGACUCUACGGGAGGCAGCAGUGGGGAAUAUUGGGACAAUAGGGCGAAAGCCUGAUCCAGCCAAUGCCGCGUGUGUGAAGAAGGU
rnacentral:rRNA from 1 species